AUCGCGAUAGCUCAGCUAAUAGUGCCUCUGUCCGGUAAGCAGAAUUCCACCGGUUCGAUUCCGGUUCUUGGUG
rnacentral:tRNA from 1 species